CGGACGGGUGAGUAAUGUCUGGGAAACUGCCUGAUGGAGGGGGAUAACUACUGGAGACGGUAGCUAAUACCGCAUAACGUCGCAAGACCAAAGAGGGGGACCUUCGGACCUCUUGCCAUCGGAUGUGCCCAGAUGGGAUUAGCUAGUAGGUGGGGUAACGGCUCACCUAGGCAACGAUCCCUAGCUGGUCUGAGAGGAUGACCAGCCACACUGGAACUGAGACACGGUCCAG
rnacentral:rRNA from 1 species